AACGAACGCUGGCGGCGUGCUUAACACAUGCAAGUCGAACGUGAUUGGAAGCUUGCUUCCAUGAAAGUGGCGCACGGGUGAGUAACGCGUGGAUAACCUGCCCUGGUAUCCGGAAUAACAUCUCGAAAGGGGUGCUAAUACCGGAUAAGACCACGGGAUCCUUGGAUUCUGCGGGAAAAGGUGGGGACCUUCGGGCCUACCGUCAUUGGAUGAGUCCGCGUACCAUUAGCUAGUUGGUAGGGUAAUGGCCUACCAAGGCUACGAUGGUUAGCUGGUCUGAGAGGAUGAUCAGCCACACUGGAACUGAGACACGGUCCAGACUCCUACGGGAGGCAGCAGUGGGGAAUUUUGCGCAAUGGGGGAAACCCUGACGCAGCAACGCCGCGUGAGUGAUGAAGGCCUUCGGGUCGUAAAGCUCUGUCAGAGGGGAAGAAGUGCAGUGGUGCUAAUAUCGCCAUUGUUUGACGGUACCCUCAAAGGAAGCACCGGCUAACUCCGUGCCAGCCGCCGCCGUAA
rnacentral:rRNA from 1 species